rnacentral:rRNA from 1 species
UACGUAGGUGGCAAGCGUUGUCCGGAUUUACUGGGCGUAAAGAGCGCGCAGGCGGUCGUUCAAGUCGAGUGUGAAAGCCCCCGGCUCAACUGGGGAGGGUCACUCGAUACUGAUCGACUCGAAGGCAGAAGAGGGAAGCGGAAUUCCCGGUGUAGUGGUGAAAUGCGUAGAUAUCGGGGAGGAACACCAGUGGCGAAGGCGGCUUUCUGGUCUGCUCUUGACGCUGAGGCGCGAAAGCUAGGGUAGCAAACGGG